rnacentral:rRNA from 1 species
GAUUGACGGGUCCCCGCACAAGCAGCGGAGCGUGUGGUUUAAUUCGUUGCUACGCGAAGAACCUUACCUGGGUUUGACAUAGAGGUGGUAGGGAAGCGAAAGCGGACCGACCCUUCGGGGAGCCUCUACAGGUGUUGCAUGGCUGUCGUCAGCUCGUGUCGUGAGAUGUUCGGUUAAGUCCGCUAACGAGCGCAACCCUCGCUGUGUGUUACAAGUGUCACACGGUACUGCCGGUAUUAAGUCGGAGGAAGGUGGGGAUGACGUCAAGUCAGCAUGACCUUUAUAUCCAGGGCUACACACACGCUACAAUGGUCAGUACAAUAGGUUGCCAAGCCGCGAGGCGGAGCCAAUCCUAAAAAGCUGGCCUCAGUUCAGAUUGCAGUCUGCAACUCGACUGCAUGAAGUUGGAGUUGCUAGUAACCGCAGGUCAGCUAUACUGCGGUGAAUACGUUCCCGGGGAUU